rnacentral:tRNA from 1 species
GCCCGGGUGGUGGAAUUGGUAGACACGACGGACUUAAAAUCCGUUGACUUUUAGUCAUGGGGGUUCAAGUCCCCCCCCGGGCACCA